AGAGGUGGAGUUAUCAACUUGCUUUCAUUACACAACAUUCCUGAUAAUCUUAGCAAAAUUGGUGUGGAGUACGUUGAGGGAUUUAGCAUUUUGAUAUCUGGCUUAUUUGGUAAUACAACUACAAGACGAGGAAAGUCAGGCUUACAUCAGUGAAACUUGAUGUUCAAAGCAAUGUGCAACUCACACCAACAUCUGUACUCAAGGAAAACAAAAGGGCAUAUUCAGGGACUGUUACAAAGCAACAAAGGAAGAAGAUACAAAAAACACUUUAAAGUUGUCUUUCAAUCUCUAAGAUUUUCUAUGCACAAUUUGGUUUUAAUGGAUUUGUGAUUUUGGUACUAAAGACAGUGGAACAAAGGAAAUUUUUUUGCUUUUAUGCACAAUUUGGUUUUAAAUUGAAACAGAGAGGAAUUAAACUCUUUUAUUUAGUUAUUUGAGGAUACAACUCUACUUCAACGUUUUUUAAAUAUUAUGAAUACAAUGAAUAUUUAGUGGAAGUC